AUGGCUUUGAUGUCAUUCUUCUUCAACUGUUUUGUCCCUUCUUCAAACUCAUCAUCUCAAGUUUUUGAUUAUGAUAAAAAAUCAUCUCAAUCAAAAUCAUCAUCAUCAUCAUCAGAGAAACCAAAGAACAAGGAAAAAUCAAAGGGAGCUCCUUUGGUGGUUUAUCAUUUUCCAGUUAACUCUAAUCUCUCGCGUUUGUAA